rnacentral:rRNA from 2 species
GCAUAUCAAUAAGCGGAGGAAAAGAAACCAACAGGGAUUACCUCAGUAACGGCGAGUGAAGCGGUAACAGCUCAAAUUUGAAAGCUAGCUCUUUUAGGGUUCGCAUUGUAAUUUGUAGAAGAUGCUUCGGGUGUGGCCCCGGUCUAAGUUCCUUGGAACAGGACGUCAUAGAGGGUGAGAAUCCCGUAUGUGACUGGGUGCUUUCGCUCAUGUGAAGCUCUUUCGACGAGUCGAGUUGUUUGGGAAUGCAGCUCAAAAUGGGUGGUAAAUUUCAUCUAAAGCUAAAUAUUGGCCAGAGACCGAUAGCGCACAAGUAGAGUGAUCGAAAGAUGAAAAGCACUUUGGAAAGAGAGUUAAACAGUACGUGAAAUUGUUGAAAGGGAAGCGCUUGCAACCAGACUUGCGCGCUGAUGAUCAUCCGGGCUUCUGCCCGGUGCACUCGUCUGCGCUCAGGCCAGCAUCGGUUUCGGUGGUGGGAUAAAGGCCUUGGGAAUGUAGCUUCUUUCGGGGAGUGUUAUAGCCCUCGGUGCAAUGCCGCCUACCGGGACCGAGGACCGCGCUUCGGCUAGGAUGCUGGCGUAAUGGUUGUAAGCGACCCGUCUUGAAACACGGACCAAGGAGUCUAACAUCUAUGCGAGUGUUUGGGUGUCAAACCCAUACGCGUAAUGAAAGUGAACGGAGGUGAGAACCCUUAAGGGUGCAUCAUCGACCGAUCCUGAUGUCUUCGGAUGGAUUUGAGUAAGAGCAUAGCUGUUGGGACCCGAAAGAUGGUGAACUAUGCGUGAAUAGGGUGAAGCCAGAGGAAACUCUGGUGGAGGCUCGCAGCGGUUCUGACGUGCAAAUCGAUCGUCAAAUUUGCGUAUAGGGGCGAAAGACUAAUCGAACCAUCUAGUAGCUGGUUCCUGCCGA